UACGUAGGCAGCAAGCGUUGUUCGGAAUUACUGGGCGUAAAGAGUGUGUAGGCGGUGCUCUAAGUUCGGUGUGAAAUCUCCCGGCUCAACUGGGAGGGUGCGCCGAAAACUGGAGUGCUGGAGCGCGGGAGAGGAAAGCGGAAUUCCUGGUGUAGCGGUGAAAUGCGUAGAUAUCAGGAGGAACACCGGCGGUGUAGACGGCUUUCUGGACCGUAGCUGACGCUGAGACACGAAAGCGUGGGGUAGCAAACAGG
rnacentral:rRNA from 1 species